rnacentral:rRNA from 1 species
UGAGACUCUACUGUACCCCCAAAGAUACCAGAUCCUAUCUGAUCUUGAAGCUAAGCAGGGUCUGCCCUGGUUAGAACUUGGAUGAGAGAUCACCAAUGAAUACCAGGUACAGUAUGUC